rnacentral:rRNA from 1 species
AUUGAACGCUGGCGGCAGGCCUAACACAUGCAAGUCGAACGAGUGGCGGACGGGUGAGUAAUGUCUGGGAAACUGCCCGAUGGCGGGGGAUAACUACUGGAAACGGUAGCUAAUACCGCAUACCAUCGGAUGUGCCCAGAUGGGAUUAGCUAGUAGGUGGGGUAACGGCUCACCUAGGCGACGAUCCCUAGCUGGUCUGUGAGGAUGACCAGCCACACUGGAACUGAAACACGGUCAAGACUCCUACGGGAGGCAGCAGUGGGGAAUAUUGCACAAUGGGGGAAAGCCUGAUGCAGACAGGCCGCGUGUAUGAAGAAGGCCUUCGGGUUGUAAAGUACUUUCAGCGAGGAGGCGUUACGCGCAGAAGAAGCACCGGCUAACUCCGUGCCAGCCGCCGCGGUAAUAC